rnacentral:tRNA from 2 species
UGGUAAUUAGUUUAACAAAAACAAAUGAUUUCGACUCAUUAGAUUAUGAUCAUUUUCAUAAUUAUCAA